rnacentral:rRNA from 1 species
UCUGAAUCUGCGAACGGCUCCGCAAACCAGUUGUAAACUAUAGCAAGCAAGCUCAGGGUUGGCCCUCACGGGUCGGCUUUGGGCGAUAUGGAUAACCCUGGUAAUUCUGAGGCUAAUACAUGAGUGUAAACCCUGGAGGACCGGCUUCGGCUGGGAAUCUGGGGGAUGUGCGAUUGCAGGCUUGGUAACACCGGGAAAGGGCGCACGUUCAGAUCACGCUAAAAAGGUCGGGCUCCUUCGGGGGCCUGCCCCAGUGACUCUUGCUGUGUGCUUCUGACCUAUCAACUAGACGGCAGCGUAAGGGACAUGCUAUGGU